UACGUAGGGUGCAAGCGUUGUCCGGAAUUAUUGGGCGUAAAGAGCUCGUAGGCGGUCUGUUGCGUCGGCUGUGAAAACCCGGAGCUCAACUCCGGGCCUGCAGUCGAUACGGGCAAACUGGAGUGUUGCAGGGGAGACUGGAAUUCCUGGUGUAGCGGUGAAGUGCGCAGAUAUCAGGAGGAACACCGGUGGCGAAGGCGGGUCUCUGGGCAACAACUGACGCUGAGGAGCGAAAGCGUGGGGAGCGAACAGG
rnacentral:rRNA from 1 species